rnacentral:rRNA from 1 species
CCUCCGGGAGGCAGCAGUGGGGCAUAUUGCACAAUGGGGGAAACCCUGAUGCAGCGACGCCGCGUGAGUGAAGAAGUAAUUAGUUAUGUAAAGCUCUAUCAGCAGGGACGAAAAUGACGGUACCUGAGUAAGAAGCAACGGCUAACUACGGUCCAGCAGCCGCGGUAAUCCGUAGGUGGCAAGCGUUGUCCGGAUUUACUGGGUGUAAAGGGCUUGCAGCCGGGAAGACAAGUCAGAUGUGAAAUCCCGCGGCUCAACCGCGGAACUGCAUUUGAAACUGUUUUGCUUGAGUACCGGAGAGGUCAUCGGAAGUCCGUGUGUAGCGGUGAAAUGCGUAGAUAUAAGGAAGAACACCAGUGGCGAAGGCGGAUGACUGGACGGCAACGGACGGUGAGGCGCGAAAGCGUGGGGAGCAAACAGGAUUAGAUACCCCGGUAGUC